UCUGCUCCUGGUGCCCCACCUCUCCCCCUCAGUGUUGUCACAGGCAGAGGGAGGGACCAGCAGGGACUGGGCCUGAGAGCAGUGACAGAGGCCCAGGCAGGGCAGGUGUGGGCAGAGCUGGUGUGCAGGCACAGAGGAGCUGGAGAGAGGCCACUGAGAGCGGGCCUGGCCAUGUGGAGUGCCCUGUGCGUGGGCUUCUUGCCCAUUGUAGCAGUCACUGGACAGGUGACCUUGGAGCAGCACCCCAGGGAAGUGACCAAACAAGGUGGAAUUGAAGUCACCUUCCACUGCAGCAUGAAGGGAGCUGCUAUGAGGAGCUACCACGUCAUGUACUGGUACCGUCAGGGCCCACGAGGAAUGGAAUGGAUUUGCAGGGACAGUUAUGACUAUGGAGAACGUUUCCAUCGUCGCUUUAAGGGAAGGAAGGACAGCUCCCAGAACAACUACGCACUGCAGAUCCUGGCAGCACAGCAAGGCGAUGCAGCAACGUAUUACUGUGGAGCAAGAAUCACCCUGAAGCAGCUCUGCAGCAGAGUGAACCAAAAACCAGCAGAUGAGGAAGACAGAUCUCUCAGCAUUUCUUUCUGGCAGCUGCUCCCCAGGGCUCCUGUCAGGCAAUGGCAGGUGCAGGAAACGUCCCUCUGGCUGGGUGCCACUAAAAGGCACUGCAGGGAGGGCUGCUGGAAGGGCUGGUGCCAGUGAUGGUGCAGGAAGAUCUGUCCUGGGAACUGCAGAGGCUGCAGUUUGGGGAAAUGCAGGUUUGGUGCACGUUGCCUGGGCUCCUGUCCAGCAUAGCCUCAUUUCUCCUCAGUGCCUUGCCUUGGCUCCCAGCCCUUUCUCCCCAGGGACAAUCAGCAUGGCUUUGGGAAGUGGGAAUUUGGCUUAGCCACAUUGACAGCCUUUGACAGUGAAACAAAGGGUCUUGCUGGGUGAAAAGAGAGAGUGGAUGUUGGGCAUUCUUCAUUCAGUUGGGCUGCCAGUACUGACUUCCCUCGAAACCUUCUGCACAAAUCCUUUUAUUAUGGCCUAGAGAAGUGCUCAGUGACAUGGAUUGUGCACAUUGCACAGAUUCCUCCUCCCAGUAUCUCCUCCUGGGCUGGGGGAAACAAAAUUGCUGAAGGCUGAUCUGACUGCUGAAGCCUGAGGUGAAUAAAGCAUUCAGGACCUCAGCCCUGUCCCAUAUCCUCUGUCACCUGGUCCCCAUCCCAUUCAGCACUGGGCCCACCUUUUCCCAGCCUCGUUUGUCCAUGCAGCCUCCUGGCAUGUUGGCCUGACUCCUUGCUGACUGGGGAGGAACCCUCUUCAGUCCAGCACUGCUGGGACUGGGGACUGCUGUGUCCCCUGCUGGGCUCCCAAGGCUGGGAAGGACAUGGACACAGGGGAACAAUGCAAUGAAGGGCCAUGAACACAAGGGAGGGAACAUAAGGAGAGCCUGGGAGAUCUGGGUUGGUUUAGCAUGCAGAAGGAAAUGUUCUGGGGGAUCUGACACUGAGCUGAAAUACUCGAAGCUCUCUGAGUUCCAUUCAUGAGGACAUUCAGAACUGAACAGGACAAGGCUGUGGGCACCUCCUGCCCCUGCCCCCAUCAGGCAGCUCAGCCCCACACAGCUGCUCACUCAGUCCCCCUCACUGCCAUGGCAGAGAGAAACAAAAUGGUGGAGUGAGAAAAUGUAUUUUUUGACAGAGAGAGAGUUGAGAAAUCAUGGCAAAACCAAAAGACAAAAACCAAACAACAUCAAGAAUUAACUCCUGCAUUCCCAUGAGCACAGAGGAGCAGCAAAGCUGGCUCCUCUUCUGCUCCCCUCUCCUUAUGCCUGUUCUGGCUCUCCAGAAAGAACAGCAUCAGCUCUGAUGCCUUUAUGGGAGAGCUUGGGGGCCUCUACCUGUGUCUGCAGCCUUAUAGAACAACAACACACCCUAGGUUCUGACAGAAGAACACACACCACAAAAACAGCAAACAACAGAAAUACAGAAAACAAACCCAUGCAGAAUAGCUCUCCUCACACCUCUGUGUGCCUGUCACAUACCCAACCCAAAUUUCCUUUGUAUCAUUUGCAGGUUUCCCUGGUAACUUUUCAGCUUUGAAGCUUGCAGCCUGAAGAGGACACAGGGUUGUCCUCAACACUGCUGUAGCACGAGUUAUUUCUGGAAGUCCUCAGUGACAAAAGCUGUCAAAGGGCUAACUGCAAUAUUCUCCUGCUUACAAGAAAGAACAGUGCCUGAGACUGAGCUCUGACCACAGGGCUGCUUUGCCCUGAUCACCCUCCUCCAGGCAGCUUUUCCCAGCUCAGAAUACCCCAUAACAUGAGAAAAUCAGUAGAUGAUUGAACCUACAAUGAAACCAGACAAUGAACCAUGUCCAGUAAUGGAAUCAGUCAGAAUUCAGCAGAAAUUCCAGCACUUCUAUGGGGCCUGAGUUUUAAAGAAUGAACUUUCCUGCACUACUGACCACUCAUCUGCAUCACCUACAUGGGAACAGGUGUAGGGAUCCAGCACAGGACAGCACUCAGGGAUUCUGUGAGCAAGAGUUGCUUAUCAGACCUGACCUGCUUUUCUCUGCAGCAGGAUGUGCCAUGGACUAGGUGAGGGCACAGCCCCGAACUUAGGUAAAGCAUAAAAGAAUAAACUUCCUUCGUGAUUCA